rnacentral:rRNA from 1 species
AGUGCUGUGCAAACAUUAAUUUGGGCUGUACUAUCAUCAGAUUUUUCACAAGUUAAGCAGGGUCAUGGCUGGUGAGUACUUGGAAGGGAGAACCCAAAGGAAAACUUAGAUUGCAGCAGUA